rnacentral:lncRNA from 1 species
AUAUAUGAUCUCCGGUUGUUUUGUGAUCCCAGGAUCUACUGAGAUGUAUAGCAUAAGAAGUUAUGCAGUUCCUGGAUUUUGUGGAUUUUGUAAGUUUCCCAGCUUCUCCAUUGCUCUUGAGUGUCAUUUUUUCAGGGCAAUCAUAAAAACGGGCAGGGCAUGAAGCAUUGCAAGCAGAUCUGAAACCUGGAUUUCCAAACAUAUCAGAGAAAGAAGAAAAACAGGUCCUCACUGCCCUGUAGGACAAACCAGAACACGACGACCAGAGGAUUCAGCUCCUAACCAAUCAAAUAGAGGAUUCAAAAAUACCCAAUCAAGAGGAUUGAAAAACAGACCCUUCUGAAUGGACAAAGGGAGAACAAGGGAGGGAACAACGUGGGGAUAUAAGUCAGACUAGCAACAGCACCCUCUUCCCGGUCCCCUUCCACCACGUGGAAGCUUUACUUUUGGUUUGCUCAAUAAAC